rnacentral:rRNA from 1 species
CAGCCGCCGCGGUAACACGAAGGGUGCAAGCGUUACUCGGAAUUACUGGGCGUAAAGCGUGCGUAGGUGGUGGUUUAAGUCCGUUGUGAAAGCCCUGGGCUCAACCUGGGAAUUGCAGUGGAUACUGGGUCACUAGAGUGUGGUAGAGGAUAGUGGAAUUUCCGGUGUAGCAGUGAAAUGCGUAGAGAUCGGAAGGAACAUCUGUGGCGAAGGCGACUAUCUGGGCCAACACUGACACUGAGGCACGAAAGCGUGGGGAGCAAACAGGAUUAGAUACCCGAGUAGUCCCUGUCUCUUAUAA